rnacentral:lncRNA from 10 species
GGAAGGGCUUGGCGUAGACCGCGCACUGGAAGGCGUGCGCGCAGGUGUGCGUGACCAUGUGCUUGAAACGGCAGUAGCGCAGCGAGAAGGAUCGCCAUCACACGGCGCACUGGUGCGGCUUCUCCCCCGAGUGGAUGAACAUGUGCUUGGUGUCGUUUUUCCUUGAGCUGAACGUCUUGCAACAGUGGCCGCACGCAUAGGUCAUCACUGAUCAGAGGCCUAACCCAAGGAGGGGGUCAUGUGCAGACCCAGCUGUGGGGAGGAAAGAUGCUGCAGAGGAGACGGAUGCCCACAGAGGCCCCUGAGUGGAUACAAUGCUCACUAAGUGGGCUGACCCCACAUUGGACACCGCUGCAUCCAUGUCCAUCACACAACACAGCUGCCGUUUCUUCUGCCUGCUUAUGGGAAAGUCCCCUCUUCUCCUCCGUUUUCUUCUCUUCCUGCCCUAUCACACCGUGCACUUCUCCCUUUCCUUAAAGAACCACCAUCAACUUUAGGAGGAGGGAAAGGGGUGGCUCUGGCAGGAAAAGCCAGAAUCCCCUCUAGCCAGCAGAGAGAGAGAGGAAUGGCUGCAUGUUUUCUCCCCCAGUCCAAGGCACUGGGUCUUGGCUGGGUUGAAGGUUCCAAGCUGCUCUCCUGCUGUGUCGGUGAGUUCUGGUCAACCUGCAACCUCCUGAUAUGGCCAUUGCAGUUCAUCGAGUCUUCAGGGACUCCCCAUGGCCUGGAGUACUUUGCCUUGCUUACACGGGAGAGGAGAAUGGAUUUAUAGAGAACAUCAUCUAAAUCCAACUUGACCAUUGUGUGGCCACACUUGCUAGAUUGCUAUAGUCUAAAUCUAGCAUUGUAGAAAGACGGGGGAGCUUGGAGCUGCACAAACCCAGGUCUGGAACUGGCUCCUUACCUUGGAAGGUGAAUGAUCCUGCCAGGACUCUUAGCCUCCCUGGGUCUCAAUUUCUUUAUCUGUUUCAUGGGAAUGAGGAUCUCUGCUGGGUGGUUGGGUGAUGUGGGGGCUGUGUGAAAACAGCUUGUCAAUACAAGCCAAAAUAGAAAUAUUUCUCCACAGAGUAUGAAGGUCAAAUGAGAGAAUACAUUUAAAUUAAAUGGAAAAUUAAAAUGGUAA